rnacentral:rRNA from 1 species
GACGAACGCUGGCGGCGUGCUUAACACAUGCAAGUCGAGCGGUAAGGCCCUUUCGGGGUACGACGAGCGGCGAACGGGUAGAGUAACACGUGGGUGGACCUGCCCUCCAGCUCUGGGAGUAAGCCGUGGGAAACGUAGGGUCGUAAUAACUGGAUAUGACUCCACGGUGCAUGUCGUGGGGUGGAAAGCCUUGUGCGGCUGAGGAUGGGCCCGCGGCCUAUCAGCUUGUUGGUGGGGUGANGGCCUACCAAGGCGACGACGGGUAGCCGGCCUGAGAGGGCGACCGGCCACACUGGGACUGAGACACGGCCCAGACUCCUACGGGAGGCAGCAGUGGGGAAUCUUGCGCAAUGGGCGAAAGCCUGACGCAGCGACGCCGCGUGAGGGAUGACGGCCU